rnacentral:rRNA from 1 species
UACGUGUGAGGCGAGCGUUAUUCGUCAUUAUUGGGCGUAAAGCGUGCGCAGGCGGUUCGUCGUGUCCGAUGUGAAAGCCCCGGGCUCAACCUGGGAAUGGCAUUGGAAACUGGCGGGCUUGAGUGUGGCAGAGGGGGGUGGAAUUCCGCGUGUAGCAGUGAAAUGCGUAGAGAUGCGGAGGAACACCGAUGGCGAAGGCAGCCCCCUGGGCUAACACUGACGCUCAGGCACGAAAGCGUGGGGAGCAAACAGG